AUUGAACGCUGGCGGCAGGCCUAACACAUGCAAGUCGAGCGGAUGAAGGGAGCUUGCUCCUGGAUUCAGCGGCGGACGGGUGAGUAAUGCCUAGGAAUCUGCCUGGUAGUGGGGGAUAACGUCCGGAAACGGGCGCUAAUACCGCAUACGUCCUGAGGGAGAAAGUGGGGGAUCUUCGGACCUCACGCUAUCAGAUGAGCCUAGGUCGGAUUAGCUAGUUGGUGGGGUAAAGGCCUACCAAGGCGACGAUCCGUAACUGGUCUGAGAGGAUGAUCAGUCACACUGGAACUGAGACACGGUCCAGACUCCUACGGGAGGCAGCAGUGGGGAAUAUUGGACUAUGGGCGAAAGCCUGAUCCAGCCAUGCCGCGUGUGUGAAGAAGGUCUUCGGAUUGUAAAGCACUUUAAGUUGGGAGGAAGGGCAGUAAGUUAAUACCUUGCUGUUUUGACAUUACCAACAGAAUAAGCACCGGCUAACUUCGUG
rnacentral:rRNA from 1 species